AAAAUGUAGAAAAUAAAAAUGUAGAGAGUAAAAAAGAAACAUGUAAUAAAUAUGAUGUUGGAACUGGUGACUUAAAAAGUAAUAAUACAAAUGAGAUUGUUGAUAAUACAAGUAAUAUAAAAAAGAGUGAAAAGAAUGAACAUAGUAGUAUAAAUAACAGUGAAAAAAAUUAUAAUAAUUGUAAUAGUUUUUAUAGUUAUUGUUUGAAUAGUUCUAUAAGUACCGAAAAUGCAAAUUCCCAAUUAAAUAGUACGUCUAAGGCUAAUUCGAUCGAAAAAAAUAACUUAAACAUUGUUGAUAUAAAAAAUGUAAAUGUUGAUGAUAAUACGAUAAAUAAUAGUAAUCAUAGUAGUUAUGUAUUAAUAAAUAAUUUAAACAAUGAAAAAAAUGUUAAUAAUAUAAGUUUAAGUCAAAUAAAAGGAGAUACGGCUAUAAUAAAUAAAACUACUAGUAUAAGCAUGAUUGAUUUAUUUAAAUUAAAUAUAAAUGGUUAUUUAAAUGCUGAUGGUUCAGUAAGAAGAGGUACUAUUACUGAAUUAUUAAAUAAUGAAAAUUUAAUGAAUUAUAAUAUGAAUAGAAAAAAUGAUAAAUGGAAAGAUAUAUUAAAUGUAUUGAACCAUUUUUAGAUGUUCAUACAAUAAUUAAUUUAUCACAAACAUGUAGAUUUUUUUAUAAAAGAAAAUAUAAAGUACAUAAUAAUAGAUUAAUAUUUACAAGUUAUUUAGGUUAUAAUCCUCAAUUUUUAUAUGAAUAUGUAUUUCCAACAGUUUAUAAACGUAUGCAUAAAUCAGUUAAAAGAAAAUUAUGUUUAGAUUUUACAAUGUGUACAUUAAUUAAAGAUAGAACAAUUGCUAAUAUAUUAAAUCAGAUUUAUAAUUUAGAAUCAUUAAACACAAAACAUUUAUUUAUUUAUAAUUUACAAGAAUUAUAUUUUGAUUAUUGUCAUCAUCUAACAGAUAAAACGUUAGAAAUAUUAGCUCAAACAAGACUUCCUUCUUUAAAAACUUUAAGUAUAAAAUGUGUUCGUAAUAAAUAUUUAACUUGUGCACCUUUAACAGUUAUGUUAAGAAAAAAAAAUUGGCCAGUUUUUACAAAUUUUAUAUGCUCUUUUUCUAAUGCAUGGUUAGAACCUAUUUUUAUUGUAUCCAAUUUUAUUAUUAAUAGAGCUAAUAAUAAAAAUCAUUUAAUAUACCAUAAGUUAAAGAAUUUACGUAAAACAUUAGAAGGUAUAAAAACAAUGGAUUCUUUGCAUAUAGAUAUGUCAGCCAAGACAUCUAUUUCAUCACAUGCUUCCGAAUCGUCUUUUAUGCCUAAUAAUGAUGCACAUCUAAAAAAAAUAAAUGAAAACACAAUAUUUAACGUUAUAAGUGUUCAUGAUAGUAUAGAUGUUAAUAAUUAUGAUAAAUCAAAUAUAAAUGAUUAUAUUAGUACACAUAAUAAUGUUGAUACAGGUACAGGUACAGGUACAGGUAUAGGUA
rnacentral:lncRNA from 1 species